CGUUACGCGGCGGCAGGGGCGGGGCUGGUUGCCAGGACGACGUCUGCCAAGAUGGCCGCUGUGUCCUCAUCGGAUUCCGACGGCUGCGGAGCUGAGAGCAAUGAGACCAAUUCGAAAUGGUUGGAUGCGCACUACGACCCAAUGGCCAACAUCCACACCUUUUCUGCCUGCCUAGCGCUGGCAGAUUUGCAUGGGGAUGGGGAAUACAAGCUGGUGGUAGGGGACCUUGGCCCUGGUGGGCAGCAGCCCCGCCUGAAGGUGCUCAAAGGACCACUGGUGAUGACCGAAAGCCCGCUACCUGCUCUGCCAGCUGCGGCCGCCACCUUCUUCAUGGAGCAACAUGAGCCCCGGACCCCAGCUCUGGCACUUGCUUCAGGCCCUUGUGUCUAUGUGUAUAAGAAUCUCAGACCCUACUUCAAGUUCAGCCUGCCCCAAUUGCCUCCAAACCCUCUGGAACAAGACCUUUGGAACCAGGCCAAAGAGGACCAGAUCGACCCCUUAACCCUGAAGGAGAUGCUGGAGAGCAUCCGGGAGACAGCAGAGGAGCCUUUAUCUGUCCAGUCACUCAGUUUUCUGCAGCUGGAGCUGAGUGAAAUGGAGGCAUUUGUAAACCAACACAAGUCCAAGUCCAUCAAGCGGCAGACAGUCAUCACCACCAUGACCACCUUGAAGAAGAACCUGGCUGACGAGGAUGCUGUGUCUUGCCUGGUGCUGGGCACUGAGAACAAGGAGCUCCUGGUGCUUGACCCCGAGGCCUUCACCGUUUUAGCCAAGAUGAGCCUUCCCAGCGUCCCCGUCUUCCUAGAGGUUUCCGGCCAGUUUGAUGUCGAAUUCCGGCUUGCCGCGGCCUGCCGCAAUGGAAACAUCUAUAUUCUGAGAAGAGACUCCAAGCACCCCAAGUACUGCAUCGAGCUGAGCGCCCAGCCUGUAGGACUUGUCCGAGUACACAAGAUCCUGGUGGUGGGCAGCACCCAAGACAGCCUGCACGGCUUCACCCACAAGGGGAAGAAGCUGUGGACAGUACCGAUGCCCGCAGCAAUCCUGACCAUGAACCUCCUGGAGCAGCAUUCCCGGGGCCUGCAGGCUGUCAUGGCUGGGCUGGCCAAUGGAGAGGUCCGCAUUUAUCGUGACAAGGCCCUACUCAAUGUCAUCCGCACCCCGGAUGCAGUGACCAGCCUUUGCUUUGGCCGCUAUGGGCGGGAGGACAACACCCUCAUCAUGACCACACGAGGCGGCGGACUGAUCAUCAAGAUCCUGAAGCGUACAGCAGUGUUUGUAGAGGGAGGAAGUGAGCUGGGUCCCCCACCAGCCCAGGCCAUGAAACUCAAUGUGCCCCGCAAGACCCGGCUUUAUGUGGAUCAGACACUGCGAGAGCGGGAGGCUGGCACCGCCUCUGUGCCCCUUCUCUGCAGCCAUGCACCGGGCCUUCCAGACAGACCUCUACCUGCUGCGCCUGCGGGCUGCCCGCACCUACCUGCAGGCCCUUGAGUCCAGCCUGAGCCCCGUGUCUGUGACAGCCCGGGAGCCACUGAAGCUGCAUGCCAUGGUUCAGGGCCUUGGCCCCACCUUUAAGCUCACACUUCACCUGCAGAACACUUCAACAGCCCGUCCUAUCCUGGGGCUGCUGAUCUGCUUCCUGUACAACGAGGCGCUCUAUGCCCUGCCCCGGGCCUUCUUCAAGGUACCCUUGCUGGUGCCAGGGCUCAGCUACCCCCUGGAGACCUUUGUGGAGAGUCUCAGUAACAAGGGCAUCUCAGACAUCAUCAAGGUGCUGGUCCUUCGAGAAGGCCAAAGCGCACCCCUGCUGAGUGCCCACGUCAACAUGCCCGGGAGUGAGGGGCUGGUGGCCACCUGAGCCCUGGGCUGCUGUGAAAACCCCUGAGGAAUCAGCCAGGGAGAACCGGGCAGGUUCAGUGGCCCCAGGCCCACUCCUGAUGCAGCAGUGUGCUGGGGUGACAGCUUGUCUCCCCUCUCCUAAGCACCCCCUUUCUUACCACCCCCACCACUGGGCCUAUAGUAGCAGUUAGUGAGUACCCUAAGCGGCUCGACUCCUCCUUCAGGACCAACCAGGCAUUGGUCCACCGAGCUCCUGCUACACCCUCCCCCGCCCCAGCCUUUUCAGAAACCACCCUGAGCUUGGAACAGAGCUCUGAAGUGGUCAAAGUGAGAUGAGCAGGACAGGCGGAGCCAUUCUCCACUGCCACAUCCCUCAUGCACGUCACUCGUCUCCCACUGCAGGCCAAGGCCAAAACUGGCCUAGGCCUGGCCAGGGAAAUCAGCAGCUCUUCUUGGAUGAGAGUGUGCCUCCUAUUGCUCCCUGGCGAUCCAGAGGCUAGGCUGCAGCCCAUUCAGCUUGCAGGCAAAACACAUGCUCUCUUCUCUCCUGACAGCUGAGCAAGCCCAGGGAAUAGCCCUCCUCUCUCCAGCAAGCUUCUCUGAAAUCUUAGACUCAGCCGUUCUUAGGCCUAUGAUGGUACACAAAGGUUGUCCAGGGAGAAGGGGGUGUAGGAGGGCAGAUGGUGCCCCACAGGGAGCUGGUGGCUUCAGCCCCCCUAGAGCUCCUAAAGAUCACACAGCAGCUGCUCCUGAUGGGGGUGCUUAUGCACAGAAAGAAACCCCAGGAGAGGCAGGCGGAGCGAGACAGAGCAGAGCCAGGGCCAGGGGCACAAGGAGAGGCGUUUCUGGGGCUUUGGGGAAGUGCCACAGGAGGCAGAAGUCCAGAACUGCCCAUAUAGAUGCCCUUCUAUGUCCUGGAGCCCAAAUCAGUCAUGUAAGUGGGAAGUUCCCAGGACAGUGGCCAUAUCGUGAGAAUGAGCAGGAAAGGCUGGCCCCAGAGGUGUUUAAUAAAGCUGGAGACUGAACAAAGGCCUGUGCUGAGACCCACAGACCUGGCCUAAGCUCCUGGCUAGCCUGCCUGGCCCACCUCACAGGCCACCCUGAGCCCUGCUCCCUAAAAACCUGCAUCUUCCCCUGCUUGUCAAGGUGCACCCUGCAGUGUGAUGCACAGCUCAGGGUUUUAGGAGGUCACCAGAUCUCUCUGGGCUUCAGUCUCCCACAUGUAAAAUAAGGCACUUUGACCAGAUUGUUUCCAAAACUCUUUCACCUCUAAUACACUGUGAGCUUGGCAGCCCCUCUGGAGGAAGGAGGAGUUGACUCCAGAAAACUGACACUUAACAGGAGUAACUGCAGAGCUUUUGCCCUUGAGGCUAAGGGCCCCUGGCUAACUGCCACUGCUGGCAGCAGCCGCUGUGCCCAAGACAUGGGGACUGAGGUGAUGCAGCCCACCAUCCACCCCUGUGCCUCUCAGGGGAUGCAGCUGAGGUCAGGCUAAAAGAAGCAAGGGACUCUGCACUGUGUGGCCACUUGCAGACACAGACCAAUUGGGUCAGGAUGGCAGAGGGUUUCUAGAUCAAGCCUGCUGGGCCACAGCUGGAAGAAGCAGGAGUUAUAACCCAGAAGUGGAAAGACCUGGGGCAGAGGGAGUGUCGCUGUCAGAUUUCAACUUAACCUGAAGAACUUAGCAGAGACGGAAGGGCCUGCCCUAGAAAGUGAUGAGCCCCUUGUUGCUGGAGCUGUGCAAAUGGUGGCUGCACUAUCACAUGACAGGGUCACGGGAUGGGCCAGAUGACCAGAUGAUCCCUUUCACCCCAAUCAGGCUAUGAACUUUGAGAACUGGGAACAAAAAAGUCUAAUCUGGGUUCUCAUCAUAGCUAUUUCUGAGGAUGAAAUGGGAGACCUAUGCCCAGCACUGAUGUCAGUUUAUAUAAUGUAAUGCUGUGUAUCUACCACUAAGAAACACAUGAACCGCACCGCGUGGACAGGAAGUGUUCACAAAGCCACAUGAGGCAAGAAACAGUGCCGGGUGCCCAGCACAUGCACUAGAGAGAAGCUACAGACAUUAGGACAAGGAGAGUUGGUGUCUUUCUAAAACGUUCUUACUUAAAAACGUGUCCCCACUUACUAACAUGAAUUACACAGUUUGCAAGAAGAAAAGUCUUUCCCAUUCUCUAGUGCUGCUCCCCCACCCAGCAGUCACUUCCAGUUCUUUCAGGUAUUUUAAAAAUGUGCUUAUAUGACUCCUGCUUGAUUUAUCAAUCUUAGACAUUACCUGUUGACUCCCUGUUGUCAUACAUGAGGCUUUAGCUCUUGUACCCCUCCCCCAUCCCUAGUUUUUAGAUUAAAAAAAAACACUCAGAAUACUAUUUCUAUUAUUAUGUGAAAGUUAUUAACUGCAGAGCCAAGAAUUGGAAUAUAAUUAAAUUCACUUUGUUGUACUUU